AUGAGGCGAAACAGCAGCCAGCGCACAAGCCAGAAGGGGAGGGCUUCAUGGGGCGAUGCCCCUGCCAGCCCGCCCUGGGGGGUCUGCUUAUGGCAGGGGGGCUGCCUCAGGGGGGCCACCAGCACGGCCAGGAAGCCAGUCUCCAGCAGUAGGGAAUCCCUAUGGGGAGAAGGAAGAGCACAAAGGGCCCCUCCCCAUCAAGGCUGCUCCCCUCCGAGGGUCCUCCCUGGAGAGGCAACCGUCCCCCGCCUCCCCGGCCCCACCUGCUGCAGCCCCACACCGAAGUCACUCACCACUGGAAGUAAAGAAACACCUGGCCCACCUGCAAGGAGAAAGGCUGUCAGGGAGCAGGGGGUGUCUGCAGAGGCAGGCGGGGGCCAGGGUGGACGGGGGACUGAGGUCCUGACAUGGGUGCGGGUGGCAGCAGGCAGCCCCACUUACCUGGCAGGCCGACAGGUAGGCAGCCCAGAGCAGCAGGUAGACGAAGAGGUUGCGCAGCGGGCGCAGCAGCAGCGCGCCCAGGGCCAGCAGGGCGCCCAGCAGGCUCAUCAGCUCCAGGCCCUGCGCGGUGUCCAGCCCCAGCUGCGGGGCCUCCACAGCAGCGUGGGGGUCUCCCAGAGCCGCCGCCAGCGCCCCUGGCCCAGCGGCCGCAGCGUCCUCCGCGCAGGCAGGAAGCCCUGGGCCCCGAACAGGCCAGCGGGAGGGCGCGUCAGGCUCCCCCCCAGCGCGCCGGCCGGGGCCCGCCCCCCCCCCCCCCCGCGGACCCGCCGCAGCCGGCGACCCGGGCCAGCGCCCCCGCUGGCGGAGCUCACCCGGGCCUCCCGCGUCUGCUCUCCCACCUGCCCACCAGGUGCGCGCCCACCGCGCUCAGGGGCCGCGACCUCUGGGAAGCGGGUCACCGCACGCGCCCUUCCCCCCGGGCCGGCGGAGCGUCGGCGGGGCCGUGAGCGGACUCAGGGAGCGGGCUGGGGGCGUCCCCGCGGGGCCCUCACCCGGGAUCUGCGUGUAGAGAGACGCGAAGGCCAACGCGUAGACGGCGGCCACGCCCUGGAGGAACAGCCGCCGCGGGAGCCCGGAGGCCGCCAUGUCCGCUACGCGGCCAGCUGCAGACGCGCCCGCCGGACGCCCCGCCCCGCCCGUCCUUUUGGCAACGGCAAGCCCCGCCCCGCCCACAAGCAACGACAAGCCCAGCCCCGCCCCCGCCCGCAAACGGCAGGCCCCGCCCCCGGCAAGCCCCGCCCCCGGCCCUUCCGCAAACAGCAAGCCCCGCCCACGCCCACAAGCAAAGACAAGCCCCGCUCCCGCCCCCGCCCCCGCCCCCGCCCCCGCGCUGCGCUCUCGGGCGCCUGCUGA
rnacentral:lncRNA from 12 species